GUGGAGGCAGUCUGUGCCCAGAUCCCCAAGGCCUGUAGUCUCCCAGGCCUGACUGGGGCCAGCUGGGGAUUACAGGUCCCCAGCCAGGUCUGGGGCAGCCACAAGCCCUCCCCACUCAGCCCCCACAGCCUUCCAGGUCUUCAAGAAGCUCCUGAUCCUGCCUAGUGAGAGAGGCAUCCAUGUACACACAGCUAGAGGCAGAACCGGCGCCCAGCACGUAACAGGUGCCCAGUAAUGUUUCCUGAAUUGAAGUGAAUUGGCUGAACCAGGGCAAGCAGGAAGGCCUUGCUUCUGACUUCCAGGCUGCACCACUCAGCCUCCCCAUCUUAUGUCUCAAAGACGGAAAAAUUGUGACUCAGAGAGGAAGAGUAACACAGGUGAUCAGUAGAAGGGCUGAAAUCCAACUCAAGUGUCGUAGUUCCCAGUUAGGGACUCUUUCUCUGACUUCCAGUCUACGCCAGCCUAAUAGUGAGAUUGAAGCUAAACACUUGGGUUCUACGUAAUCUUCCUCUCCUUGGAAGGUGCCCCAGAGCUAGGGACCUAGAGGCGGCCUGCAGGGAUCCACCUUCCUGGGCUACUCACCUGCCUGAAGCAUGCAAUUCCAGAUACUGCUUCCAACCAGGGCUCAGCACAUUGUGCUUGAGGUUGGGGUCUAUGAUGAGGUCCCAGCUGUCAGCCGGCUUUGCCUCCUCCAUCUUCUCAUAGAAGACUUUCUUCCACUCAUCUGUGGUCACGCUUUUACACAUGGUCUCGUCAGUAGUGAGGGAAGGCAAUUUCCACCUUAGUGAGAACACGGAGAGUGAGGGUAGGUGCAGGGCAGGGCAGCGCAGUCUCCACGGUCUAAAAAUCCUCAUCGACAAGACCAGGAGGAAGCAGGACCCAGCUCCCUCCUUUGUCCGCAGUGGAACCUGUUUCCACGGCAACCAGGCAGGUUGCCAGAAGACAGAGCUUGGGGAGGAGGGAGUCUCUGAAGAGGUGUUUCAAGGCCCUGAACUGAGAUUGCAGAGGCAGAGUUUGUGGGUCUAAAUGAUCCAAGACAGAGUGGGGGACCUGACCAGAGACUGAGCUUCAGACCAUCUCACCCUGGCCUGGAAAGAGUAUGGGGAGGUGAGGACUGGGAACUGGCUCAGUUUCACCUUGCCGCCCCCUGGAGGCAUCAUCAGCAUCUGGCUGCUAUGGUAACCAUGAUGCCUUAGGCAGCCAAGGAGAAAUGAGGGAUGGGGAGAUGUAAAUUUGUUAGUAGAUGGAGCAAUAAUAAUAAACUCUCUCUCGGCUUCCCCAGCCAUCUUGUGACCA